CCCUUGACCAUCUUUGCGGGCAGGAACUUCAGGGUUUGUUUCACUCAGCCCACCGCUGUCGAUUCCUUGCAGGAGGGAGUGUGCAAGCGAGCAAGUGCAGGAACCGGAGCAAAUGAAUGCUGGAAUUGGCUGGUCGCUCCUCUCUGGCGAGAGCAGGCUCUGUUAUGCACGCCCCACAGCAGUGUCCAAGCAUGUUACAACCCAUGCUGUUUCAGCUCUGCCAUCUGGGGAUGGCCAAGUGCCAAUCAGCUCAGUGGAGCAUCAGGGUAGCAGCCCCUGCCCUCUUGGCACCUGGGUUCUUGUCCAGCAUCCAGGAAGAACCAGGUCACAUGAACUGUGUGAAAGGUGAUGAACGCAGAAGACUUUAUUGAGUGGUGAGUGGUUCUCAGCAGAAAAGGAGGCUGGAAAGGGGCUGGGAAGGGGAUCAACAUGUUCCUGAAGCCAGGCCAUUUGUGGCUGGGCCCCUCUCCAAAGCAGCACCUUCUGAAGUUAGCCACAUCUAUCCAUACUUUCCGACACUCAGUUGCUUCUCUGCUCACCGCUCAGCGACUUGUAUCCUUGCCACUCAGCUGCUUGUGUUGCUCUGCCAGCUGAAAUCUUUUAUGGUCACAGGAUAGUGGCAGGCAGGCCAAAAAAAGCAACAUUGGGGCAGAAAAAUGGGGUCAUCUGUUUUCACUUAGGGCUGAGGUUCUAGGCUUAAGGGUGGAGUUUGGCUAGGUAUACUGAUGGGUACCCACUUACCUAUUAAUAUUUUCCAAGUUUCAACCUUUGGAACUUAACUCUCCAUCAGAAAAAUUUACCUAAUUCAGGACUUGGUAAUAUCCUGACAAAGUUUU
rnacentral:lncRNA from 1 species